rnacentral:lncRNA from 1 species
UCUAAGCAUAAAUCUUUCAGAAUCAAUAUAGGAACAUAGACUAAUACUUCUGUAGGAUGGGGUUAGAACACUUGUCUUUGAGAAUUAUAGCCCUAAAUGAGAUGAUUUGAGCAAGAAACCCUAAAGCCCCAAUUUUUUUUUUUCUUCUUCUUCUUCUUCUUUCUUUCUUUCCCUGAUCAUCCACGUAGCUGCCGUCUCUGGUUCCUUAAGAACGAAGGCAGAGAGGCUUAAACGGUGGGAUUUGUAUUUUUGUGUAUUUUGCAGUUUAGUCCUUGUAUUAUUAUAUUUACGAUUAGGUCCUCAG